rnacentral:misc_RNA from 1 species
GACGAGAAGGGUAAGCGUUAUCCGCAAUGACUGGGCGUAAAGGGCGUGUAGGCGGCUAAAGAAGUUAUUGGGUAAUUUAGAAGAAAUCCUUCGGAAUUUCAUAAAAACCUUUAGCUAAGAGUUUAAAAGAAGUAAAUGGAACUUCUAAGGUAGAGAUGAAAUUCCUAGACUUUAAGAAAGGCCUCCAAUGGCGGUAGCAAUUUACUAUUUUAAUCUGACGCUGAGGCGCGAAAGCAUGGGUAGCAAACUGG